rnacentral:lncRNA from 1 species
AUGAGCACUUUGCUGCUGAACUCGACUGCAGUGAGUGGUGAGAUGCCUGUGUACUUCACCCAGUUACUUCAGCCGGCCAAACGCAGGGCAAAUCAGCUCUUCUCAGCUUUUUCUCUGCUUCCCCUGCCUGCUGAAUGUCCUCUUGACACAGAAGCUUCAGAUAAAACCACAGACCAGGUUGAAUGUGAAAUGGGAUCUGUACAGUGAGCAAAACUGCUGGAUAAGUUGCUCUGAGGAGGUUAGUACCAGUAAGUACUACAGGUGGUAUAGGGGUAGCACUACUGCUGGAGGCAGAACAAUCUUGAGGGCACCUCCUCGAAGUGUACAGCAUCACAGGCACUUCCAUUAGAGCACCACUGUGUCCCCAGACAUCCUAGAGAUGUUUUAGAGAAAAGCUUUGUUAAAGAUUUCUGUUAAAGUGAGAGAAAUAAACUGUUUGGCUCUCUCA